UCUUUCCCACUGAGGGCAUAUCCAAACUUUCACUGACUUCAGCCAUACAAAGAGGCUUUCUUCAAUGCGCCCUCGGGUCCAACUGCAGUCGGAACAUCUUUUAUGCAGCUUUCAGUGAGAGGACUCUCUGGAAAUAUGGCAGGGGACAGGAAACCGGAAUCUGCAGCUCUCCCACCAAGGAUUUUCUCAAAACUGAAGUUCUGAGCUCAGCCGCGAGCGUGCGGCACACUAGAAACUCAGUGGUUGUCGACAGGCCCACGCGGCAACUCGCAAGAUGACCACCGCCAGGCCGGGGGGCGUGCCAUUGCGGCUAAGUUCGGAGAGGGGUGAGAAGGAGGUGCGUCUUGGUCUCGCUGAAGGCCGAGGAGGGUGCAUCAAAAUCACAUUUGUCGUAGCAUGGCAUAUAGCCAUACUAUGCUACAAAAUAUUUGACCAAAAAAAUUGAAGUAAUAAGUCAAACCUCAGAAACAAUCAAAGCACAAGUGAAAUAGAAAAACAUCUAAAACAUCAAAACAUCACCACAAUACGAUAGUAUAUAAAGUCCGACAGUUGAAGAUGGUUGUGGAGCCGAAAGUAGGAAGUUCCCUCUCGAGCCACAAUUGUAAGGAGGUACACACACACACACGCACGCACACACAGGUACGUGACCAUGUUAAAAAAUGUUAUGUAAUGCAACAGUGGUUCGCUUCACCACUGAUAUUUGGAGCAGCAGCGUGAGUCCGGUGUCAGGCCAGCCGAGAGACAUAGUUUCUCCAGCGUGUCCCGGGUCACGUCCCACUGGGUUUCAUCCCAGUGGGACGUGGCCCGGAACACUUCACCAGGGAGGCGUCCAGGAGGCAUCCUAAACAGAUGCCCCAGCCACCUCAUCUGGCUCCUCUCAAUGCGGAGGAGCAGCGGCUCUACUCUGAGAUCCUCCCGGAUGACCGAGCAUCUCACCCUAUAUCUAAGGGAGAGCCCGGACACCCUGCGGAGGAAACUCAUUUCGGCCGCUUACAUCCGGGAUCUCGUUCUUUCCAUAAGUGAGGGUAGGAACGUAGAUCGACCGGUAAAUCGAGAGCUUAGUCUUUCGGCUUAGCUCCUUCUUCACCACAACGGACCGAUACAAAGUCCGCAUCACUGCAGACGCUGCACCGAUCCGCCUGUCGUUCUCCCGUUCCAUUCUUCCCUAACUCGUGAACAAGACCCCAAGAUAUUUGAACUCCUCCACUUGGGGCAGGAUCUCAUCCCCAAGCCAGAGCGGGCACGCGAACCUUUUCCGACUGAGGACCACGGUCUCAGAUUUGGAGGUGCUGAUUCUCAUCCCAGCCUCUUCACACUCGGCUGCGAACUGCUCCAGUGAGAGUUGGAGAUCACGGCGGCUUGAUGAAGCCAACAGAACCACAUCAUCUGCAAAAAGCAGAGAUGCAAGACUGAGGCCACCAAACCGGACCCCCUCUACGCCUCGGCUGCGCCUAGAAAUUCUGUCCAUAAAAGUUAUGAACAGAAUCGGUGACAAAGGGCAGCCUUGGCCGAGUCCAACCCUCACCGGAAACGAGUCCGACUUACUGCCGGUAAUGUGGACCAAACUCUGACAUUGGUCGUACAGCCCAUAUCAGGGGGUUCGGCACCCCAUAGUCCCGAAGUACCCCCCACAGGACUCCCCGAGGGACACGGUCGAACGUCUUCUCCAAGUCCACAAAACACAUGUAGACUGGUUGGGCGAACUCCCAUGCACCCUCGAAGACCCUGCCGAGGGUGUUGAGCUGGUCCACUGUUGCACGGCCAGGACAAAAACCACACUGCUCCUCCUGAAUCUGAGAUUCGACUUCCCGGCGGACCCUUGCUGCUUUCAAGCAAAGAUUUCUCCAGAUUCGUUGAAACUUUUGAUGAUAUUAUGGCCCGUAGAUGAUAAAAUCCCUAAAUUAUUUGCAAAUGUACACUGAGAAAUGUUGUUCUUAAACUGUUGGACUAUUUGCACAUGCAGUUGUUCACAAAGCGGUGAACCUCGCCCCAUCCUUGCUUGUGAACAACGGAGCCUUGCAGGGAUGCUACUUUUAUACCCACUCAUGACAUUCCCCUUUUUCCAAUUAACCUGACGACCUGUGGAAUGUUUUUUGAGCAUUCCUCAAUGUUCCCCAUCUUUUGUUACCCUUGUCUCUGCAUUCUUGGAAUUACAGCAACAACAAAAAAACUUUCAUCAGUUUGAACAUGAAAUAUCUUGUCUGUGUCGUAUAUUCAAUCGAAUAUUGGUUGAAAACAGUUUGCAAAUCAUUGUAUUCCUUUUUUCUUUCCAUUUGACACAACAUCUCAAUGGGCGUUUGUAAAUCAGCUCCCCCACAAACUCGACACCAUAUUGCAUGCUGCCAUGCACUUUGUCACCGGUGCUCCUUUUAACACCUACCGUUGUUAAACUGCUCCCUGGUUAAUUGGCCCUUUGUUCACUCACACAAACAAAUCCACUGAUUCAUGUUCAUCUAUAAAACACUCAUUGGCAAGACCCCACCUAUGUUCACUCUCUCCCCACCAUGCAUACCACCACCCACACUUUCUGUUCCAGCAGUUUAAUUAACCCCGUUUGUUCCCAAAGUCUGCACUAAUAUGGUUUUAUUCGGUCGUCUUUUCAAUGUUCUGCUCCAAAUGACUGAAACGCUGUACAACAAAUGAUCAAACUCGCCUCAUUCGUCCAAAUAUCAUCAUCAUUUAAAAUGGUAAAGAGGGAUCCUGUACAUCAUUGCUGUACCUGUUUUUAGCCUGUUAGGAACCUUUAAUUCACCAUAUGCUAUGAUGUAAUGUUAUGGAUUGUGUAAAUAUGUAACUAUAUCACAUUGUACAGUUUUUUUGAGAUGUAUUUGUAUUUUCUUUUAUCGUGCUUUGUUUUACUUUGCUGUCUGCAGCCGGUUCGGCGUUGCAAAUGAGAAUCUGUUUUCAAUGUCCUUACCUGGAUUAAAAAAAAGAAAGCGAUUCCAAUCUCUUUCCACUCGCAUGUCCUGGUUCUGAAUUGGAAGCAA